rnacentral:rRNA from 1 species
AGAGUUUGAUCAUGGCUCAGAACGUACGCUGGCGGCACGCCUAACACAUGCAAGUCGAACGAAGUAGCAAUACUUAGUGGCAGACGGGUGAGUAACAUGUAGGUAUCUACCCUUUGGCCUGGAAUAACACGAGGAAACUUGUGCUAAUACCGGAUAAGUCUUUACGGAGAAAGCUUUAUGCACCAUUGGAUGAGCCUGCACUUGAUUAGUUUGUUGGUGGGGUAAUGGCCCACCAAGACUGUGAUCAAUAGCUGAUUUGAGAGGAUGAUCAGCCACAUUGGGACUGAGACACGGCCCAAACUCCUACGGGAGGCAGCAGUGGGGAAUCUUGCACAAUGGAGGAAACUCUGAUGCAGCGAUGCCGCGUGAGUGAAGAAGGCCCUUGGGUUGUAAAGCUCUUUCGUCGGGGAAGAAAAUGACUGUACCCGAAUAAGAAGGUCCGGCUAACUUCGUGCCAGCCGCCGCGGU